ensembl:lncRNA HISLA HIF1A stabilizing long noncoding RNA
GUUAAACAAGUGCUUGAAGGCAGUAUGCUUGGUAAAAGUCAUCGCCAUUCUCUAAUCUUGAGUACCCAGGGACACGAUACACUGCGGAAGGCUGCAGGGACCUCUGCCCAGGAAAGCCAGGGAUCACUCUAAGCUCCAGUGUCAAGGAGUCAAGUCCUUCAGGAAUUCUCUGCCUCCACUCCCUGUGGCAGAGCUAGAGUGGCUGCCAUGCUUCUGAGCUCAGCCAGCAUCCAGAGAGAGAGUGAGAUACAGCCUCCUCUUCUUGAAGCACCCACUUCUAAACUCUGUGACAGUUUUCUUGGAACUCUGUUAUGUGGAUCUGGAGAUGACAAUGUCACAGCACUCCCCUCUAAGCCUAAAUUCCCCCACACCGAUGAACUAUUAGGAUCCAGUAUCUGCCGGAGGAGCCCCACCUUCUGCUACUAUUAUGUUCUUCAGAUGAGUAGAAGAGAGUGGGGAGGGAGAGAGCAGGAAGAAGAAAGGAAGAAUAAUGUCUUGAAAUUGGUAAAAGCGUUUUUGUUUGCACAUCCUGCAUUAUUAAUAUUUCUUGUUUAGCAUAAUUAGCUACCCUCUCAAGCUUACACACAACCUGCAGUGUUUAUGCCUUCCGAUGAUAGCUAAACCAUCAGCAAAGCAGUCCAGGUCCCUGAAGGCUGAAUGCAGGUGGUUCUGAAGGCUGCAGGAUGCAUUCAAAAAGCAGGAUACAUAAGCUUUAAUUGUUGCUAAAAAUACAUUCACUAGAAGAAUCGGACUCCUUCUAUCUGUCUGGAGUGGAUAAAAGCCAACUAUGGAUUCAGUAGUCUAAAGAAAGUCGCAGAAGAACAAAGAAAAGGUAGACAAAUGGGCCCAAAUGAACUUCAUUAAUGAGAAAAAAAGAUAACUAAUAUAAGACAAUACCACUUCUCUUUAUUCAAAUAAUUGGCAGUCAAUUUUACUUGGACAAUAACUAUGGCCUCAAAUGUGAUUUCAGGCUCAACAAAGCAGUGCAAUUUAAGGUCUAUCAUGCCUUGUUGUCAUGCUUCACGCAGCCUGGAAUAAGUAAUUCAAUACCCCUUACAGGAUCACCAGCUAUUAAACCAGGAUAAGAGCUUAGAGGCAGAAUUACACAUUCUAUGAUAUAUUAUUAUUAUAUAAUGUAUUAUUUGUAUUCUAUUAUUACAUGUAUACUUCAGUGGCCUGAGUUAAUAUUUUUCCACCAGCCACUAAUUCCAUACUCAAGAGUUAUUCAUGAAAGAAAAAAA